UUUUUCCAUUAGACUAAACGUAUCUUUAUAUGCUCUUAAAGUUUUACAUAUAUUUUUAUUUGGUUAUUUAGAAUUUUUAAUUUGUGCAUUCAUAAAACUUAAUAUAGUCUAAUUUUACCUGUGUAAAAUAUCUACUCAUUCCACUAGUCAAUCGAUAGUAUAUACUAGGUUAGCAUGAACUAUUUACUAAUCCUUAAAAAAUAUUUUGCUUUAUAUAUAUAGUAUUUGCUUAAUAUAGAAAACAGAAAUAAAAACAAGUAGAACACAACUAGCAACCCUUAAAAUUUAAGAUAGGAGACUUUUAGAUACUAAGUAACAUUCUGUUAAGUGAAUUUAUCAUGAUUUACUGAGCCAUUCUUUUGUUGCUAGGCAUUUAAGGUUGUGUUUAGUUUUUUUUUUUUUCCUUUUCUUUUCGCUGUUUGGGGAUCCAACCCAAGUCCUUGUGCGUGAUAAGCAAGUGUUGAUCACUGAGCUACAUCCCAGUUUUGUUUACUUCUCUGAUAAAUAAUACUGUGCUGGGGAAUAAACCCAGGAUCUCAAACGUGCCAGGAAAUGGUCUGUGUUGCUUCUACUUCCUAGAAGAUGGAAAGGAGUGCCCCUUCUCUCAUAAACCACUAUAGAAGAGCAGUGAAGUAUACUGGCAGUGGAGUUGGGAGUGGUUGUGCAUUUUAUUUUCACCAUUCCUUUUUCUGUUGUAUACCCAGUCACCUCAACUGUGAAAGAAUUAUCUCAGAGAGUAAUAGUAAAUGAAUCAAUCAGUGUAAAAUGCUUAGCGAAGUGCUAGAUAUAUAUUAACAUGGUCAGUAAAUAUUAACUGUUUUUAUACUGUUUUUUAAGAAUCUUAUUGUGGGAUUUCUUCUGUCUCCUAUAUCUUCAACUUUUCCUACUUCAUUAACCUCUUCCCAUAAAUGAUUAAACUUAUGUAGAUCUUUCCUAUUUCAGAUUAACCAGCUAACCAACCAGUAACAAGCUAAAAUCCCUUUCCUGUAUACCACAUCUUUAGCUCUUGUCCUAUCUCACUAUUUCACAGCCAUAUUUCUUAAUAUCUACAUUUGCUAUAUCCCUUGCUGCCUUUCUUAUUUACUUAUCCCACUGUCUUCUGGUUUUGUUUCUACAGUUCUAUUAAAGUGCCUCUGAUGAAGUAAGCAAUUCUCUCUUUGAAUUCAUUUUUAUUCCUGUUUCUCCUUAGUGCUUUCAUUUCAUUGUCUGUAAAAAGAUCAAAAUGGUCUUUUAAAAAUGCAGUUCUGAUCUUACUUCUAAAAACUAGUGAAUUUCUAUUAUUGUUCAUAUAAAGUCUCAAAUACUUAAUAUGGUCCACUGUGUCCUGCCUAAUUGCCAUUCUUAUCUCAUACACAUUUUCUUUUCACUCUAAGCCCUUGAGCUGGGUAAAUUGUUUUAAUUUUCAUACAAGCUUUACUGAGAACAUUUGUGUUUUGUCCCGUUUUUUGUUUUUUGUUUUUGUCUUUUUUCCAUUUUCUACCUGUUUCCUUUGGAGAGUGCUUAGCCUUCUUUAACACAUUAGCUUUAGGGCCAUGUUCUAAGUAAAACCUUUCCUGAUUUGAAGAGGUGUAGCAUUUGAACUUCUCCUUCAAAUGUUGUAAUCACAGUUGUAAUUAAAUAUGAAUUGAGUUAUUCUCUGGAAUGUAAGCUCCAUAAAAUCGAGAAUGCUAUCUUGUUUAUUGCUGAUUCUAGGUCUUACUAGCACAAUUGUUUUGCUUGAAGGUGUUCAAUAAGUAUUUGUUGCAUGAAGUAUUAUUAAUUCAUAGAGGUGUUAUGUUACUCAUCUCUUUAUUAUAGCUUAGCCUUUCCCCCCCCCUUAUUCUGCAUGUUUGAAGUUUCAGUGCAUUCUGUAGUAGAAGUUCUCCUUAGAAUUUAUUCCCCUCUUUUCCUAGAUGAUUUGGGAAUAUAAUCUUAAGUACAUGUUGUGAACAGAUGAUUUGUUUUUUAAGAUUUCCUGUUUUAUCUUGAAAAUACAUGAGAAUUUUGCUUGCUGUUUCUUAAUAUUCUUGUGUUUGUUAAAUAAACAAGCAAAAAGUGCCUAUAACUGCUUACUAGGGAAUAAAAUUUCUGAUUAAA